rnacentral:rRNA from 1 species
GACGGAGGAUGCAAGUGUUAUCCGGAAUCACUGGGCGUAAAGCGUCUGUAGGUGGUCAAAUAAGUCAACUGUUAAAUCUUGAGGCUCAACCUCAAAAUCGCAGUCGAAACUAUUAGACUAGAGUAUAGUAGGGGUAAAGGGAAUUUCCAGUGGAGCGGUGAAAUGCGUAGAUAUUGGAAAGAACACCGGUGGCGAAGGCGCUCUACUGGGCCAUAACUGACACUGAUGGACGAAAGCUAGGGGAGCGAAAGGG